AAUAAUUAUAGCUUUAUACGGCUCAUCUCCAACAUUUAAUCGUUUAUAUUAUUUGAAAAAAAAAUUAUGAUUAGUAUUUUGUUGUCAUUAGAUGAUAAAAAUAUGAAUAAUACUUUAUGUGUGACUUUUUUUUUGUUUUUUUCAUAAUUUUUUCAAAUAAGACGGACGGUCAAACGUUGGACACGGAUUUCUAUGGCUGUGCUUAUU
rfam:Oryza sativa (indica cultivar-group) chromosome 8, whole genome shotgun sequence.